rnacentral:rRNA from 1 species
GACGAACGCUGGCGGCGUGCCUAACACAUGCAAGUAGAACGCUGAAGCGAUGAGCUUGUUCUUUUUGGAUGAGUUGCGCACGGGUGAGUAACGCGUAGGUCACCUGCUUUGUUGUGGGGGAGAAUUAUGGAAAACGAUAUCUAAUACUGCAUAACAAUGGCUUACACAUGUAGUUUAUUAGAUUGGGGCCAUUGCUGCACUACAAGACGGAUCUGCGUUGUGUUAGUUAGUAGGUGAGGUAACGGCUCACCUAGGGGUCGAUACAUAGCCGGGAUGAGGGGGUGGUCGGCCACACUGGGACUGGGACACGGCCCAGACCGCCACGGGAGGGAGCCGGAGGGAAACUUCGGCCAUGGGGGGAAACCUGACCGAACAACGCCGCGGGAGUGGAGAAAGUCUUCGGGUCGGAAAGGUCCGUUUUAAGGCAAGAAAGAGCGUGAGAGUGGAAAGUUGACGCUGUGACGGUAGCUUACCAAAAAGCACCGGCUAACUACGUG